GGGCUUGUAGCUCAGUGGUAGUAGCGCUCGCUUUGCAUAGUUACAUGUCGUGGACAAGUGGCGUUUAAAGUCUUGCGAGAGGUCAAGGGUUCAAUCCCCUUUGAGUCCA
rnacentral:tRNA from 1 species